CAGCCGCCGCGGUAAUACAGAGGGUGCGAGCGUUAAUCGGAUUUACUGGGCGUAAAGCGUGCGUAGGCGGCUUCUUAAGUCGGAUGUGAAAUCCCUGAGCUUAACUUAGGAAUUGCAUUCGAUACUGGGAAGCUAGAGUGUGUCAGAGGAUGGUGGAAUUCCCGGUGUAGCGGUGAAAUGCGUAGAGAUCGGGAGGAACAUCAGUGGCGAAGGCGGCCAUCUGGGACAACACUGACGCUGAGGCACGAAAGCGUGGGGAGCAAACAGGAUUAGAUACCCCGGUAGUCCCUGUCUCUUAUAC
rnacentral:rRNA from 1 species